rnacentral:rRNA from 1 species
UACGGAGGGGGCUAGCGUUGUUCGGAAUUACUGGGCGUAAAGCGCACGUAGGCGGCUUUGCAAGUUAGAGGUGAAAGCCCGGGGCUCAACUUCGGAAUUGCCUUUAAAACUGCAUCGCUAGAAUUGUGGAGAGGUAAGUGGAAUUUCCGAGUGUAGAGGUGAAAUUCGUAGAUAUUCGGAAGAACACCAGUGGCGAAGGCGACUCACUGGACACGUAUUGACGCUGAGGUGCGAAAGCGUGGGGAGCAAACAGG